CCUCAUCAUCAUAUCAAACAUGAUCAAUUUGGGGGGAGUUUGUUUGGCACAUGCUGACUGCAUUCUAAUUAUAACCAGAACAGGAGGCGAGAGCAGAGAACAAGAGUGCAGCAGUUUGGUGAAAGGAACAGGAAAGGUGAAGAAGAGGUGAGCAUCCAAAAGACGAGCAAGAGGACAGUUUCAAAGGAGACAUUAUGGCACAAUAAAAGCUUGAAAAACUCACCUGAUGUAGUGGUAAGGCCAUGUUCACCACUAGAUGGAGACAACCUGGCACAGGCCUCCUCCUGUUUCACUGGCAUAUAUCCAUCACCAGAGGGCUCCACUGACCUGCCUGCUGAUAUCAGAGCACACCCCUGUGUCAUGUGACCUGACUGGAGUCAGACCUGGCCCAGCCAAGUUCAAAGGCAGCUGUGGUAGAGAGAGCAGGGAGUAUAGUAGAGCACUGGAAGGAUGAGGUGGAAACAGGAAGCGUGUAGAUUCAGUGGACGUGGCAUCCUCCAUCUGCCUCCAUGCUCUCUUUACUGGCCUUCUAAAAACUUCUCCUGUAGCUGUAGAUGUUUAGGAUAGCAUUUAGAAUUCAACUUUACUGUCAUUACACAUGUCUAAAAACAGGGUAACAAAAUACAGUUUGCAUCUAAUCAGUAAGUGCAAUAAGAGCAGAUGAUAUACAAGUAAGUUCAGUAGAGAGCAAACAUACAGAUGCACUGAU